AUGUAUCCUUUUGGAGUGUGUUAUUUGAUGAUACCUUUUCAUUACAAUCCUAAGAGUAUAGCAUUAUCCUCUUGUCUUGACUAUAGGAUAGCUAAGAUAUCAGUCUCCCUGCGUGUUAUGCGUUUAUUUCUAAAGCACAACAACAGUGUGAAGGACCACAGUGGUGUGUUGUGCCUUGUGAGACUGUGGAAUCUGACUCCAAUGUUCUGUGAACGAGCGACUAGAGGACGGAUUAGGACCGCGGGGACUCUCUCCUUGUCCCGCAGCGCUUUACCCAAAUCUACUCUGCCUUUCCCUCCACACACACGGAGCUUCAGGACGCGCCAACAUGACACAUGUAGGCCUAAUGUAAUACGACUUCGAAAGCAUAACAUGUACAAAGCAACGACACCAUCAAACCGACCAGGCGUGUUAGGAAGUUGCCACCUACACGGACUAAGGAGCCAAAGUCGUCCAGCGACAAAUAAAAAAAAUAGACAUUCUAAACCUAAACAGGUCACAGAAAUGUUGGGAGAGGGCGAUGGCGACGACAGAGGGACAGAGGAGGGACCACACAAGGACAAACCUCGACUAGUGGGAACACGAUUCAACUCCAUGGUCAAUGGGAGGACGUGGCUUUAGCCGUACUAUCUCUUGGGUCAAUUCAAGGGAUACGACUGAUAUCAGUCUCUCAUCGAACUCCCAUGGACAGAGUGCCACAAAACAUGUAAAAUGACAUCAGCGAUGGAGAGUGGACAACCGCAAGAACCGAACUAACCUUGUGUUGGAAUAUGGGUUAUAAUCAUUGUCGAUUUAGCUCAAAAUUGGCGAGCAAAUAACUUCACAAGGCAAAAGCUACAUUUAAAAAAAUCUCGCCAUGGACCUUUGGCUUAGCCUAUGUAAAUAAUGUUGCAAUGGCUAUAGCUUAAUAAAUUGUGAAACAAAACUGCGUAUUUUUCUCUCCAUUUUAUAGCCUUCUAUAGGAUUCACAGCAGUUUGGGCAUGUAGUCUAAAAUAGGGUAAAGUAGACCCACUAAUGGCAGCAACCUAUGCAUAUCCAAAUUUGCCCAUUCAGAGUUUUCUCUGACGACGACAGAAGCAACAAAAACAGGCCUGCUUUUUGUCGACGCAUCUCUUGCGUUUGAACUUGAUUUUCUCAUAUGGACGUCACUUGUGAUUAUUCUAUUACAUUAUUCACUGGUGAAAUAAAAAAAUGGGAUAGUAAAAUGAAUUGACCAUAUAGAGGUGUGACAACAAUGUAUACGCGUGCACUGUUCCUUGGGUCAAUUCGACAUUUAGCUCAAUCAAAAGCUAGAUUAUGUCUCCACUGUAGCCUUUUUUUAUUUCAUGUUUAGUAGCCUAGUUGAACACAUUGAGCUGUAUUUUAGCUAGGCUACAUUCUCCGUUAUUAUUAUAGUUGAAAUAAAUAUCACGCCGAACAUAGGCCUACAAACAGGCCUUAAAUCAUACAUACGCUAAUUCUCUCCGAUUCUAAGUUCACCCUAUAUCUGAGUAACAAAAUAAAAAAAUGGCGUGUGUAUGACUUGCUUGUAGGCCUAUGUUCUGCGUGAUAUUCUUUUAGGCUAGAAUAGUAACAGAGAAUAUAGUCUAGCUAACAUACAACUCAAUGUGUUCAACUAGACUACUAAAUAUGAAACUAAGUAUAGCAUAGCAUAAAAUAAUAUCAUGUUUUAGAGUUCAGAGUAUAAAUAAAUACGGGAAGAAAUUAUGUAGGGAUUGGUAUGAAACGAAAACGAACCGCAUGGGUCUAUAAUGAUACGUAGGGUCAGAUUAUUCUUUAGUUUAUAUGAUCUGUGUUGCUGUUCAAAAUAACAAAGAAUUCCAUCGACAACAAAGCAAAAUGCCCAAGAAAACGAAUGAAUAGGCUACCUAUAUUCAGUCAAUACAAAGUGGAGAACAAUAGCAUCAUGUAAUUAAGACACAAAUGACUAACAAAGUGUGUAAGUAAGACCUAAUUACACAUUUUUAAAGAAUAGACUACACAGCCUGACUCCUUUGCGCGCACACAAGGUUAAUUUUGGAGAGGACUACAAAAUCAUGUAUUGGUGUCCAUAGACCUUCCUCGUGGAAAUUGAGCAUAGACCUACGGAUUUAUAUGGGCAGAGGAUAAAAUACCACCGCUUACACAAAUUAGUAAAUGAAUAGGCCAGGGCAUGAGCGCAGCCUACAGAGGCGUGGUGAACAUAGUCUCGGGCAAGAUCCUCUGCUUAACUGUUGUUAAAACACCGGUAUCCCACGGUGUCUACCAGCCUAAAGUUGACUGCUUUUAAAACGGAGUAUCCCACGUUGUCGACCGGGUUAAGGCACAACUGUAUGCGCUAUUCUGGCAAGCAGGCAAGGCAUAUGGAAAACGCCAUCGGUAUAUCUCGGGUAUUGCCAUUUGAAGAUUACAGCCCUCGCCAUAGUCUCCAUUACCCAGGUAGACAGUGAAGGUCAAAGUAAAGAGCACACCAUUAGCCCCGGCCUUUACUCAUCUCCUCCCCGCCUGACAAACUGCGGAGAGCGAGGCUCAGUGUGAGAGUAUAGGCUGCUCCUCCAGCAGACAACUAUUCGCUUAAUACAAUAGGCCUACAUAUAGUCUAUUCAUGUGGAUUUCUAUUUAAUUAAUCAUGUUUGAAAGCUUACAAAAAUGUAUGUUUUUGUUUUGUGUGAAUAGACACCAACAGCCGUUAAAACGGAUUAAAAAAGUCGUACUCCAUGGAAGAAGGCAACAAUUUUUAGUGCAGAUAUGAAAUGGAAAAUGUAUAGUGAAAUGAUAUAGCCUUUAAACACGUCAGGUUGAUUUGAUAACGCAGCAAAAAAGAUUUACAGACGACCAUGUACUUCUUACUUCACGUUGCCCAUUUGCCGCUAAGCGUGAAUCAAGCAAGACAGUGAGUAAUGUGAAGCUCUCUCAACCCAUUUAAUUCAUUUUACGCAACAGGGAAUGCCAAAUUGAAUUGCUCCAUGGAUUAUUUGCAGAAGCUGUCAUUCCUGGUUUUGCCUUUGGGUGGCAGCAAAACUCCAACAAUGCUGCAGUGAGCACUGGGAGUGUGUCAAAUAUGGAAUCCAGUCCAGCUCUGCUCUGCUCUGGCCGCCUGCCACAGUUUGAAUAUUUCUCUCCCUGGGAUGUGUGCACGUUCACGUGUGUUUGCGUCUGAACCGUGUAAAGCGCACGCAGACUGUGCUCUCAGCUGAGGCAUUCUUGAUCCUGACUUCAAUUUAUCAGAAAGAGGAAUAGUGUAAUGUCUAAUAAAUAAUAAUUGACAAACUAAGACGUUAAAUGUCUUUAUAUAUUAGCAUAUUUUUACAUUAUAAUUCUUUAUGAAUUUUGGACAACACAUUGAUUGAUGUUUUGC
rnacentral:lncRNA from 8 species